rnacentral:rRNA from 1 species
UACGUAGGGUGCAAGCGUUGUCCGGAAUUAUUGGGCGUAAAGAGCUCGUAGGCGGUUUGUCGCGUCUGCUGUGAAAACUGGAGGCUCAACCUCCAGCCUGCAGUGGGGUACGGGCAAACUAGAGUGCGGUAGGGGGAGAUUGGAAUUCCUGGUGUAGCGGUGGAAUGCGCAGAUAUCAGGAGGAACACCGAUGGCGAAGGCAGAUCUCUGGGCCGUAACUGACGCUGAGGAGCGAAAGCGUGGGGAGCGAACAGG